rnacentral:rRNA from 1 species
GGGAUUGCCUCAGUAACGGCGAGUGAAGCGGCAACAGCUCAAAUUUGAAAUCUGGCCCCUUCGGGGUCCGAAUUGUAAUUUGUAGAGAGUGCUUCGGGUGAGACCUCGGUCUAAGUCCAUUGGAACAUGGUGUCAUAGAGGGUGAGAAUCCCGUAUGCGACCGUGGCUCGAGCCCAUGUGAAGCCUCUUCGACGAGUCGAGUUGUUUGGGAAUGCAGCUCAAAAUGGGUGGUAAAUUUCAUCUAAAGCUAAAUACUGGCUGGAGACCGAUAGCGCACAAGUAGAGUGAUCGAAAGAUGAAAAGCACUUUGGAAAGAGAGUCAAACAGUACGUGAAAUUGUUGAAAGGGAAGCGCUUGCAACCAGACCUGCCCGUAGGCGAUCAGCCGCUGUUCUCAGCGGUGUACUCGCUCUGCGAUCAGGCCAGCAUCGGUUUCGGCGGUCGGAUAAAGGCCUUGGGAAUGUAGCUUCCCUUCGGGGGAGUCUUAUAGCCCUCGGUGCAAUGCGUCCUGCCGGGACCGAGGACCGCGCUUCGGCUAGGAUGCUGGCGUAAUGGUUGUAAGCGACCCGUCUUGAAACACGGACCAAGGAGUCUAACAUCUAUGCGAGUGUUUGGGUGUCAAACCCAUGCGCGGAAUGAAAGUGAACGGAGGUGAGAACCCUUAAAGGGCGCAUCAUCGACCGAUCCAGAUGUCUUCGGAUGGAUUUGAGUACGAGCAUAGCUGUUGGGACCCGAAAGAUGGUGAACUAUGCCUGAAUAGGGUGAAGCCAGAGGAAACUCUGGUGGAGGCUCGCAGCGGUUCUGACGUGCAAAUCGAUCGUCAAAUUUGGGUAUAGGGGCGAAAGACUAAUCGAACCA